rnacentral:rRNA from 1 species
CGAGCACGCGCGUGUGGCAUAUCAAUAAGCGGAGGAAAAGAAACUAACAAGGAUUCCCUUAGUAACGGCGAGUGAAGCGGGAAGAGCUCAAAUUUGAAAUCUUCAAGGUUCUACCUUGACGAAUUGUAGUUUAUAGAAGUGUUUUCUGUUAGUGGAGUGGCAAAAGUUCUUUGGAAUAGGACAUCAUAGAGGGUGAGAAUCCCGUAUUUGGUCAUUCCUCCUAGCGUUGUGAUACACUUUCAACGAGUCGGAUUGUUUGGGAAUGCAGUCCAAAAUGGGUGGUAAAUUUCAUCUAAAGCUAAAUAUUGGCGAGAGACCGAUAGCGAACAAGUACCGUGAGGGAAAGAUGAAAAGAACUUUGAAAAGAGAGUUAAAGCAGUACGUGAAAUUGUCAAAAGGGAAGCGUUUGACACCAGUGUUGUUUUUCCGAAAAUCAAUUACGAAUGUUUUAUUUUUGAGGAGUUAUGACUUCAUCGGCUUGCUCCUUUCUUUAUGAAACUUUCUUAAUGCACUUUUCGGUUAACAAGUCAACAUCAAUUUCUUUUGUUGUAAAAGGGUAUGAGGAAGGUGGCUUUCUUUUCGGAGAAAGUGUUUAUAGCCUUGUGCCUCUGCAAUCGGAGAGAUUGAGGUCUGCAGCGUAGAUCCUUCGGGGUUAGAUACAUUUGUGCUAAGUUAUAGCUUUUCAUAGACAACUUGUUGACUAUGUUUAGUCUUGUAGCUUACUCGCUUACGCUAUUUUACCUACGCUUAGGAUGUUGAUGUGAUACUGCGAGCA